rnacentral:lncRNA from 1 species
UACGUAAAUUUGGCAAAGGACUUUUAGCAUGCUUUUAAUGUCAAAUUGGUUUCAAACUGAUAUCAAUUUAAGCAUAUUUUGGUAUUAGACUUUGUGCUUCAUUGAAUAUCUUUUGAAAGUUGGAUUUUCAUCUGUACUUAAUUGGUAAAUCACUUGUUUUGAAAACUAAGUGAAAAGGAUUCCAUUUGUCUUAGUAUUGGAAAUUUACUUUGGAAUCUACGAAUGAG